ACUCCUACGGGAGGCAGCAGUAAGGGAUAUUGCGCAAUGGGCGAAAGCCUGACGCAGCAACGCCGCGUGGAGGAUGAAGGCCUUCGGGUCGUAAACUCCUUUUGACGCUGACGAGGAAGGACGGUAGGCGUCGAAGAAGUCACGGCUAACUACGUGCCAGCAGCCGCGGUAAU
rnacentral:rRNA from 1 species